rnacentral:misc_RNA from 1 species
UGAAGUUACAAUAUCAAAUUCAGAUAUGUAUUGUAUCGUAUCGUGUCCAUCCCUACUUAGAAGAUGAACCGACUCUCUUUGAUUAAGUCACUUUACCCAAACUCUCUUUCAUUAACAUUGAUCUUAGUCAAUCCCAUUGAGCCUUAACUGAAUUCCUUGGUCACCCUAUUUGACACCUUGACCUUUUUGAGUCCUUUCUUUUGGCACCCUUACCUCCCGGACAAAUCUAUCAUAGAUCCGUCUUAAAACUUCA